CAUCAAAAAGUCCAAUUCAAUGUUCACAAAAAAUAAAUCCAAACCAAUUAAUAUGAGCGAAAACCCCUCAAUACUGUUUGAGAUAAAGGCAUUUCCUUCUCUCCUCUCUUUUUCCCCCAACAAUGCCCAUAGUUUGGGGGGCGACCAGGUCUGUCUCAAACGGAAAGGUAACGGGGAGGGGGAAAGAUGGAGGCGGAAGAGGCUGAGGAAACCAGACAAAGAUUUCUUCUCCCAAAGGCAGGGCAAGGGAGGGGGGUUCUCUUUCGGAAAGGAGGGGGGGCAGCAGAAGAAGGGCUUCUAUUUUUAUAUUUAUCUAUUCUAGUGAUGGCGCAGUGUGUGCAUCCGCUAUGGAGAGUCUUUUCAAAAAUCUCAGAGGCUGAGUCACUAGAAAAGCUAGCCAGCCGUUAAAAUAAUAAACUGGCCAUUACAUCUUCAGAUUGAGCGAAUCUGACCACACACACAAAAAAAAACCAAAAUCUCCUCCUAUAUAUAUAUAUAUAUAUAUAUAUAAUCCGAGGUACACAACUCCUCCACAGUAUGGAUGGAUCAAGGGUUAGUGGAGGGUGGGUGGUGGGUGGCGUACCAUAAAAAUGCUGAUGGGGAUGGUUAUUUAAUCCAACUCGGAGAGGAAAGAAGGAGGGCAGGGGGGAAAGAAGAAGAAAAAGAAGCAGGAGAAAAAGAAGGGAGUGGAUGCCUUACAAAUAUACAUGCUGUUGGAGAUGGAGAGGGGUUUUAAUUUUCUUGCUUUUACUUCAAACAAAGCUCGCCCGAAGCCUGCGCCCGAUCAAUCUUCCCGGCCAAACGCUUUGACAGCCUCUGGCCCUUAAGAACACAUUUAAAGCUUCUUCCUCUUCCCAGUAUCAAAUGUGGCGGAGAGAGAGAGAAAAAAAGGGGUUGGUUGGGAAGAAAGAGAGAGAGAAAGAAACGCAAGUAAACAUGGAAAGAGGAUGGGAGUGCCUUUCUUUCAAAAAAUGAUUUGAUUUCAUUAUUAUUAUUAUAUUGCUCUCAUGGUGAGCAUUUUUAGUUCCUUAGCAUUCCUAAAGGUCUUCCCUUCUUGUUUUGCUCUAAAAUAUUGGGGGUGAUAGUAAAAGGGGAGGGGGCAACGAAGGAGGAGGUUGAGGAUCUGCUUUGUGAGUGAAAUCGGCGUAGGAGGGUUAUUGAGGACCUUUUCUUGGUGGACAGGCUAAUAGAAAACCCACCUGGAACAAAGGAGGCCUCCACAUUCUGGAGACAAAUGCCUGCCUUUCCCACCUUCCCACUCAUUCCAAUUCUGUCCUUUUCCAAAAAAAAAAAUCACCCCAUUUCUCUCCUUCUCUAAAUGAGAUCUAAACUAUGAUAUCGUAGGGGUGAGGAGGAGGGAUUCAGAUAGAAAAAAAAAUACAUAUAAAUGGCAAUAUGAGGGGAAAGGCUCAAUGUCUAUAUGCCUUGGAAAUCAGACGGGAACUCCAGCUUUCUUUGCCUUGCGAAUUAAAGUUGGGGGUUUUUAUUAUUAUACCCAAAACCAGACCGUUAUCCGCCACAGACGGAUAAGGAGGCAUCUUUCUACAAAUUAGUUCUCAAUGGGAAAAGAUCCGCUACUUUAUCCAUUUUUUGCGCUGAGGCUUAAAAAAAUAAUUCCUCACAUUAUAAGCUUCUUUUUUUCCUUCCCCUCGAUAUGACGAGGUUUCCAAAAGCUUUGUCCGCUUCCUCUUCACGUUGGAGAGCACAGCUGUAAGUAUAAAAGGAACGACUUAAAGCUGGAAUAAGCUGCUGCUGGGAUGACCGUCUGGCACUCAGGCCUGAUUUAUGAUUGCCGCGUCUGGUUCCUUCAUUAUUGAGAUGAUGAAUUGUAUUUUGCCUGUAAACAAAUGUGUUUUGAAUUCGUGCCAUAUCAAAUACGAGGGUAGCUAGCUAGCUACACGCGCGCCUCCUCAUCUUUGCCUGACUUCUUGCUAUUGCCUCGUGGUUUCUCUCUCCUUCUCCCUGCUCUUUUUCUUUCCUUCCUAGCCCUGCUCAAGCCCUUUCCCCAUCACUCAACGUGAACAGGGGCUGAAUUGUCCAUUUGGUUCCCGGGAGGAAAAGGGUGGGAGGCAAGCCGUGCUCGAUCUUUGCCCCCCUCCCCUGGCAGCAGAGCCUUCGCCAUAGGAACGGCUGGCCUCUUCCAGGGGAAAGAACCCAACAUGGCGAAGGGAGGAAGAAAGGACAGAGGGGUGGGAUGCGGGGAAAGAACAGCCUGCAAGCGAGACCCAGGCUCAGCCUGAGGCCUCCAGAGGAGAGGGGAGCAGCCACAGCACCUGAGCUUUGGCACAGAAUGGAGCUACAGACCAGAAGAAACACAAUUACCUUCCCAAUCCGAUUCCAGUUUAACAAAUACCACCGAGGAGGAGAAGCAACGCCAAAGACACCGACUUCCUAUAGGAUUAAAUCAAAACCUUUGGACAUCUGGAUUCCUGACUAUUUUUUCCCAUCAUCAUGGAUAUUUUCCAAUAUUUCCCAACCUCCCGCUUUUAAUUUGAGAUGGAAUCUGCUUCAGCUUUGUUGCUAUGAGAAACCAACAGAGAAGAAUCUGAAGGUUGGACAUUGGAGAUUUAUUGUAGGAUCAGGAGCAUUUUCUUCAUCGGAUUUUUAAAAAAUUAUUAUUUCUAAAAUGAUCGUGCUUUAAAUCUCGAUUAUUCAGAAUAAAAACUUUAUUUGUAAUUUUUUGUCAGAAUGUGAGCAGCAAGGAAUGUAUAACUUCCAAAACAAAUCGAGUCUCUUUGUCUUGUCCUCAUUCAGGUUUCCGCCUUGUUGUGUGUCUGUCCUGUUUGAUUCCAUGUUUACAAGACGUCCAUUUCUACAGUUUGUUUUCCGGAUUUUAUUGCAUUUUUCCUUUUUUUAAAUAAAAGAGUUCUCGUUC